rnacentral:sRNA from 1 species
AGUAGCCCAAGGGCGGUGAUAAUUGGUACCCAGUGAGUUCCCAGAUGAUGCUGGUGCCCUCACAGCUGCCAUUCCAGGCCCCAAGCUUGGAGUGGCGGGGAACUCCCUCCAGGGUAAGGCUUCAUUCCUGGGAGUCCCUCCUGGCAAGGGGCUUGGCUGGGUGGUUAAAAAUAACUGCCUCUCCCACAUCUCCAUCACUUGCCCCAAGCAUCACCCUGUGAAGCUGCCAAGGAGCGUUCCAUUAGACAAGGGAGGAAACUGAGGCUUGCAGAAGUUCGAUGACUCACCUCAGAUACCCAUCUAUGAGAUGGCAGCAUUGGGCUCCUGGCCACACUGUCCUGAUGCUUCCCCCAGUGAGGUGGUCUGCUGGAGGCGUCCCAGGGCGGCAGUGAAUACACAGCAGCAGAUCAGAUCGGCUUUCAGGGCCCUGACACCCCCUGAAUACCUACUGCUUUGCCCUUUUGACUGACACCAGGCUCAGUUGUACAGGCCAAGGGUAUCAAUCUAGACUUCCUGGUUCCAUUUUCAUUGUAUUUUUAGCAUUGCCUUCUGUGUAUGACAAAUUCUACUGCUUUGGGUGUUAUAUAGUGACAUAAAUGAUCUUAUUAAAAAAUUGGAAUUUAAAAAGUA